ACGAACGCUGGCGGCGUGCCUAAUACAUGCAAGUCGAACGAAACUUUCUUACACCGAAUGCUUGCAUUCACCGUAAGAAGUUGAGUGGCGGACGGGUGAGUAACACGUGGGUAACCUGCCUAAAAGAAGGGGAUAACACUUGGAAACAGGUGCUAAUACCGUAUAUCUCUAAGGAUCGCAUGAUCCUUAGAUGAAAGAUGGUUCUGCUAUCGCUUUUAGAUGGACCCGCGGCGUAUUAACUAGUUGGUGGGGUAACGGCCUACCAAGGUGAUGAUACGUAGCCGAACUGAGAGGUUGAUCGGCCACAUUGGGACUGAGACACGGCCCAAACUCCUACGGGAGGCAGCAGUAGGGAAUCUUCCACAAUGGACGCAAGUCUGAUGGAGCAACGCCGCGUGAGUGAAGAAGGUCUUCGGAUCGUAAAACUCUGUUGUUAGAGAAGAACACGAGUGAGAGUAACUGUUCAUUCGAUGACGGUAUCUAACCAGCAAGUCACGGCUAACUACGUGCCAGCAGCCGCGGUAAUACGUAGGUGGCAAGCGUUGUCCGGAUUUAUUGGGCGUAAAGGGAACGCAGGCGGUCUUUUAAGUCUGAUGUGAAAGCCUUCGGCUUAACCGGAGUAGUGCAUUGGAAACUGGAAGACUUGAGUGCAGAAGAGGAGAGUGGAACUCCAUGUGUAGCGGUGAAAUGCGUAGAUAUAUGGAAGAACACCAGUGGCGAAAGCGGCUCUCUGGUCUGUAACUGACGCUGAGGUUCGAAAGCGUGGGUAGCAAACAGGAUUAGAUACCCUGGUAGUCCACGCCGUAAACGAUGAAUGCUAGGUGGUGGAGGGUUUCCGCCCUUCAGGGCCGCAGCUAACGCAAUAAGCAUUCCGCCUGGGGAGUACGACCGCAAGGUUGAAACUCAAAGGAAUUGACGGGGGCCCGCACAAGCGGUGGAGCAUGUGGUUUAAUUCGAAGCAACGCGAAGAACCUUACCAGGUCUUGACAUCCUACUAACGAGAUAGAGAUAUGUUAGGUGCCCUUCGGGGAAAGUAGAGACAGGUGGUGCAUGGUUGUCGUCAGCUCGUGUCGUGAGAUGUUGGGUUAAGUCCCGCAACGAGCGCAACCCUUGUUGUCAGUUGCCAGCAUUAAGUUGGGCACUCUGGCGAGACUGCCGGUGACAAACCGGAGGAAGGUGGGGACGACGUCAAGUCAUCAUGCCCCUUAUGACCUGGGCUACACACGUGCUACAAUGGACGGUACAACGAGUCGCGAGACCGCGAGGUUUAGCUAAUCUCUUAAAGCCGUUCUCAGUUCGGAUUGUAGGCUGCAACUCGCCUACAUGAAGUCGGAAUCGCUAGUAAUCGCGAAUCAGCAUGUCGCGGUGAAUACGUUCCCGGGCCUUGUACACACCGCCCGUCACACCAUGAGAGUUUGUAACACCCAAAGCCGGUGGGGUAACCGCAAGGAGCCAGCCGUCUAAGGUGGGACAGAUGAUUGGGGUG
rnacentral:rRNA from 1 species